rnacentral:rRNA from 1 species
AACGAACGCUGGCGGCAGGCUUAACACAUGCAAGUCGAGCGCCCCGCAAGGGGAGCGGCAGACGGGUGAGUAACACGUGGGAAUCUACCCAUCCCUACGGAACAACUCCGGGAAACUGGAGCUAAUACCGUAUACGCCCUUUGGGGGAAAGAUUUAUCGGGGAUGGAUGAGCCCGCGUUGGAUUAGCUAGUUGGUGGGGGUAAGGGCCUACCAAGGCGACGAUCCAUAGCUGGUCUGAGAGGAUGAUCAGCCACAUUGGGACUGAGACACGGCCCAAACUCCUACGGGAGGCAGCAGUGGGGAAUAUUGGACAAUGGGCGCAAGCCUGAUCCAGCCAUGCCGCGUGAAUGAUGAAGGCCUUAGGGUUGUAAAGUUCUUCCACCGAUGAAGAUAAUGACGGUAGUCGGAGAAGAAGCCCCGGCUAACUUCGUGCCAGCCGCCGCGGUAA